CCUCAGGGACGACCCUGUCCCCACACCACCUCUCCUCAGGGACGGCCCUG
rnacentral:ncRNA from 1 species